rfam:Stomoxys calcitrans breed 8C7A2A5H3J4 unplaced genomic scaffold Scaffold141, whole genome shotgun sequence.
CCAUCGCCUCUUUUAAGAGGCACCACCAGUAUUCACUGAACAAAGU